GGCAGUUUAGCUUGUGUAAUGGAAUUGGUAGAAAGAGUCCUUGAUGUGUUUUAGCGUUAUUCGAAGAUGGGUAUAUUUCCUAUGGGCAUGCGAAGCAUGGAGUGCGUAAUAAUUUUUCUCCUAUAUGGGAUCCUGAAGUUCUUGAUUAGUUGAAUGCGUCGAUUUUUGCGGCACAUGAGAGAGAUAUAAGUCCUCAUAUUAUCCUAGUGUGG
rnacentral:lncRNA from 1 species